AGGCCUUCGGGUUGUAAACCACUUUUGUACGGAACGAAACGGUCUGCUCUAAUAAAGUGGGCUAAUGACGGUACCGUAAGAAUAAGCACCGGCUAACUACGUGCCAGCAGCCGCGGUAAUACGUAGGGUGCGAGCGUUAAUCGGAAUUACUGGGCGUAAAGCGUGCGCAGGCGGUUAUAUAAGACAGUUGUGAAAUCCCCGGGCUCAACCUGGGAAUUGCAUCUGUGACUGUAUAGCUAGAGUACGGUAGAGGGGGAUGGAAUUCCGCGUGUAGCAGUGAAAUGCGUAGAUAUGCGGAGGAACACCGAUGGCGAAGGCAAUCCCCUGGACCUGUACUGACGCUCAUGCACGAAAGCGUGGGGAGCAAACAGGAUUAGAUACCCUGGUAGUCCACGCCCUAAACGAUGUCAACUGGUUGUUGGGUGCAUUAGUACUCAGUAACGAAGCUAACGCGUGAAGUUGACCGCCUGGGGAGUACGGCCGCAAGGUUGAAACUCAAA
rnacentral:rRNA from 1 species